CAGGACAUGAUCGCGUGCGUCCGCUCCACUGCCACCAGUUACCCUGAGUCCGUCACACACUGUUGAUGCCCAGAAGCAAGCUACAGGUUCCAGUUGCAAGAAGGACCCUUUUGGCAGAGCUACCUAGUCGCGGUAGCCGGAGUCCGUCACACCAGCAUUUAUGAUCCCAUCUAUUUGGACAAUAUCGCCAACACCACUGGCAGAAAUGCAGCCCCAAACCAGG